UUCCUUUUAGUAUUCUAACAUGAUGCAUAUCAUUAAGUUACACAUUGUACAUCCAUGAUAAUGUUUUUCUAUAUAUAUACUUUGUUAGGCUCUGGUUUGUUCUAGAGAGUAGACAAUUUUCAACAGCUUUUACCCAGUUUCAAAUCAGUUUUUAUAUGCAACCCUUAUGUCUUUCCUUAUUAACAAGUAUAAAUUUUUUGCAUCAACCAUGCAUAUCUAAAAAAAGCAACACGGAAAGUGACUAAGAAGAGUAAAAAAUUACACUUAUAUAGCAAUAACCAUCAAACCCCAAUGCCUCUACAAGCUUUUAUAAUUAUCAUAAAAAGAAAAUGGAGGAGACUUGACAUAUAGUUUUGAAGUAAAGUUGUGAUUGCCUUUGGCUGAGUGAAACAUUGUGUUUAACAUUUUAGAUAAUGUUACAACUAAUAUCAUUCCACCUCAUCCCAAAUAUGCUUCAUAACUUUCUCUCCUUCAAACAUACUUAUUCAUUUUCAUGAUCUCUCAAGUUCUCAACAUAAACAUCCUUCCUACACCACCCCAUAAAUCCACACUCUUGUUUAUUUCUUCUAUCAUCUAACAUAAUAAAACAACACAGCAAAAAAAUAAAACAAUUUCACUUCAUUAUUCCCAUCUUCUUUAAAUACCUUCGACUACUCCAGUGGGAAUCACCACCACUACCGAGGCCACAGAACUAGGGAGCUCGGCCAUUGGAACAAAAGAACCGCUGCCUCUGGACAUUCACGACAGCAAGACCGAUGCUGGCGGCUCACCGAAUUUAACGUCACCGACGAGAAUAAGAAGGAGAAAAUGUGGAACCAAGAAGAUUCGGUUGUGACCGGAAGAGGAGACUCUUCUUCCUUUGCCGCUGCUGCUAGACUCCGUCUAGACGUGGCCAUUCAUCUCAGAGUCAUGACUGUGGAUGGUAUGACUCCUUCCGCCAUUCAUCUCGCCCAGACACGUCGUCACCAUUAAUAGACGUCGAUCUUCUCCUCCCCUAGCCUUGACCGGCUGCCGCCGCUGGAAGAAGAAAAAUGAGUGGCUAAUUUAGGGAUUUCAAAUCCCUCUUCCCUUUUCUUAUGCAUGAUAGGGGUAACCGUGUGUUACCCCUCUUAAGCUUU
rnacentral:lncRNA from 1 species